UAGGGAAUCUUCCGCAAUGGACGAAAGUCUGACGGAGCAACGCCGCGUGAGUGAUGAAGGUUUUCGGAUCGUAAAGCUCUGUUGUUAGGGAAGAACAAGUGCCAUUCAAAUAGGGUGGCACCUUGACGGUACCUAACCAGAAAGCCACGGCUAACUACGUGCCAGCAGCCGCGGUAAUACGUAGGUGGCAAGCGUUGUCCGGAAUUAUUGGGCGUAAAGCGCGCGCAGGCGGUCUUUUAAGUCUGAUGUGAAAGAUCGGGGCUCAACCCCGAGAGGUCAUUGGAAACUGGGAGACUUGAGUACAGAAGAGGAGAGUGGAAUUCCACGUGUAGCGGUGAAAUGCGUAGAUAUGUGGAGGAACACCAGUGGCGAAGGCGACUCUCUGGUCUGUAACUGACGCUGAGGCGCGAAAGCGUGGGGAGCAAACAG
rnacentral:rRNA from 1 species